UCAGAUUGAACGCUGGCGGCAGGCCUAACACAUGCAAGUCGAACGGUAACAGAAAGCAGCUUGCUGCUUUGCUGACGAGUGGCGGACGGGUGAGUAAUGUCUGGGAAACUGCCUGAUGGAGGGGGAUAACUACUGGAAACGGUAGCUAAUACCGCACAACGUCGCAAGACCAAAGAGGGGGACCUUCGGGCCUCUUGCCAUCGGAUGUGCCCAGAUGGGAUUAGCUUGUUGGUGGGGUAACGGCUCACCAAGGCGACGAUCUCUAGCUGGUCUGAGAGGAUGACCAGCCACACUGGAACUGAGACACGGUCCAGACUCCUACGGGAGGCAGCAGUGGGGAAUAUUGCACAAUGGGCGCAAGCCUGAUGCAGCCAUGCCGCGUGUAUGAAGAAGGCCUUCGGGUUGUAAAGUACUUUCAGCGGGGAGGAAGGGAGUAAAGUUAAUACCUUUGCUCAUUGACGUUACCCGCAGAAGAAGCACCGGCUAACUCCGUGCCAGCAGCCGCGGUAAUACG
rnacentral:rRNA from 1 species